UGGGGAAUAUUGCACAAUGGGCGCAAGCCUGAUGCAGCCAUGCCGCGUGUGUGAAGAAGGCCUUCGGGUUGUAAAGCACCUUCAGCGGGGAGGAAGGCGAUAAGGUUAAUAACCUUGUCGAUUGACGUUACCCGCAGAAGAAGCACCGGCUAACUCCGUGCCAGCAGCCGCGGUAAUACGGAGGGUGCAAGCGUUUAUCGGAAUUACUGGGCGUAAAGCGCACGCAGGCGGUCUGUCCAGUCGGGUGUGAAAUCCCCGGGCUCAACCUUGGAACUGCAUUCGAAACUGGCAGGCUAGCGUCUUGUAGAGGGGGGUAGAAUUCCAGGUGUAGCGGUGAAAUGCGUAGAGAUCUGGAGGAAUACCGGUGGCGAAGGCGGCCCCCUGGACAAAGACUGACGCUCAGGUGCGAAAGCGUGGGGAGCAAACAGG
rnacentral:rRNA from 1 species